UAGUUGGAGUAACAAGACAAGAGAGGAUCUGCCACUAAUUUCAAUGUAAUCCUGUCUAUCGCACAGUCGGCCGACAUGGCGACCAUGAAGAAGCUUCUCGCUGGAGAAACCAGCAUCUGAAUUCAAUUUGGUUCCACAGAAGCAGCUUGAACUGCGUCGAAGUGGAUAUAAAAUAUUUUGUCAAUUGGGAAAUAUACACGGGAAUUGUCCACAGUUUUAAGACGGGGCUGGAUGGUAGCAGGACAGAGCACCAUGGUGGAGCCCAAGCCCAGAGCAUCAGCAGCCCAGCGUCUUGAAGCCCAGGAGACUCUGGGUAUCAGCACCCUGGACCCUGGCCACAGGCCGCCCAUCAUGCCCCCGGGACGCCAUGUCACCAUCAAGGUCCGCAUGUUGGACGACACAGAGGAGGUCUUUGACAUCUCACAAAGAGCCUCAGGCAAGGUGUUGUUUGACCUGGUGUGUACCCACCUGAACCUCGUUGAGGGAGACUACUUCGGCCUAGAGUACCAAGACCACAAGAUGAUGGUUUGGUUAGACCUCCUAAAGCCUAUUGUCAAGCAACUGAGACGGCCCAAGCACGUAGUCCUGAGAUUUGUGGUGAAGUUCUUCCCCCCAGACCACGCCCAGCUACUGGAGGAAUUGACCAGGUACCUCUUCGCCCUGCAGAUCAAGCAUGACCUUGCCUGUGGACGUCUGACCUGCAACGACAGUAGCGCGGCCCUGCUGGUCUCCCAUAUUAUCCAGUCUGAGAUUGGGGACUUUGAGGAGAGUCAGAGUCGGCAGCACCUCCUCAACAACAGCUACAUUCCUGACCAGAUGGCUCUGAUGGACAAGAUCAUGGAGUUUCACUCCAAUAAUGGGGGUCAGACGCCAGCAGAGUCGGACUACCAGCUGCUGGAGGUGGUACGCAGACUGGAGCUGUACGGGGUUAGACUACACCCUGCCAAGGACCGCGAGGGCAGCAAGCAGAGCCUGGCCGUGGCGCACACUGGUGUCCUGGUCUUUCAGGGACACACCAAGAUCAAUGCCUUCAACUGGUCCAACGUGCGCAAAUUAAGCUUCAAGAGAAAGCGUUUUCUCAUCAAGCUCAGACCAGACCUGAACCAGAGCUCAUACCAGGACACUCUGGAGUUCCUGAUGGGUAGCCGAGACUGCUGUAAAGUCUUCUGGAAGAUCUGUGUGGAAUACCAUGCCUUCUUCCGCCUCUUUGAGGAGCCCAAAGCAAGGCCCAAGCCUGUCCUCUUCACCCGAGGCUCCUCGUUCAGAUUCAGCGGUCGGACACAGAAGCAGGUGAUUGAUUAUGUGAAGGACUCUGAGUUUAAGAAGAUCCCGUUUGAAAGGAAACACAGUAGGGUCCAGCACAGCAGAAGCCGUCCAUCUCCGCUGUCUUCCCCUCACUCCCCUCAAGUGCCAAAAGAAAGUGUGAGCGGUGCUCCAGGAGACAGAGCGGAGGUGGACUCUCCGCCCCGCCGUCACUGGAAGGAGUCUGUGAACGCUGAGGACCCUUCAGCCCUGCGGAUCAGAGGCAGCCCUUCCAUCCAGAGGAACGUGGGACACAGCGAGGACAGGCCAGGUCCUGGGGCAGAACCAGGCCCACCGAGGCAGCCCCACCCAGACCAUCUGAACACAGGGGUGGUGUCCAACAGCCCUCAUCUCUCCGCCUCCUCCGUUAACUCCCAGGGCAUUGUCAACGGUCAGAUGCCGGUUGAACUCUGUGGUCACAGUCCGGACGUUCGGCAGCCCUCUCCCCUCACCAGUCCCUUGCUCAACGACGCUGGCAUUGUGCGCACCGACGAUGAAGAGGAGGUUCGGAGGAAGAGGUUCCCUACCGACAAGGCCUACUUUAUCGCCAAGGAGCUGCUGACCACAGAGAGGACCUAUCUGAAGGACCUGGAGGUGGUGACUGUGUCUUUUCAGGACUCGGUGGGUAAAGACGAAGCCGUGCCGGACUCCCUGAAGAGCACCAUCUUCACCAACUUUGCCCCUCUGUACAGGUUUCAGUCCGUCUUCCUCAGAGAGGUGGAGCAGAGACUGGCUCUAUGGGAAGGGUGUUCCAAUGCCCACAUCAAAGGAGACUACCAGCGCAUCGGGGAUGUCAUGCUGAAGCACCUACAGGGACUGAAGCCACUGACAGCCCACCUCCAGAAGCACUCGGAGGCCCUGGUGGAGCUGGAGAAGGCGUGUCGGGGUUCCCCGCGGCUGGAGGUGCUGGUCCGGGACUUUGAGCUGCAGAAGGUGUGCUACAUCCCCCUCAACGUGUUCAUCCUCCGGCCCCUGCACCGCCUCAUGCAUUACAAGCAGAUCCUGGAGCGCCUCUGCAAACACUACCCACCCGCACAUGUGGACUUCAGGGACUGCAGAGCUGCACUGGCAGACGUGUCAGAGGUGGUGUCCCAGCUCCAUGGAAGCAUGAUCAAGAUGGAGAACUUCCAGAAGCUGCUAGAGCUUAUGAAGGAUUUGAUUGGCAUCGACAAUCUAGUCACUCCAGGGCGGGAGUUCCUAAGGCUAGGCUGUCUCAGUAAGCUGUCUGGAAAAGGUCUCCAGCAACGAAUGUUUUUCCUGUUCAAUGAUGUCCUGUUGUAUACGAGUCGAGGGAUGACGGCAACGAACCAGUUCAAAGUGCACGGGCAGCUCCCUCUCUAUGGCAUGACAAUCCGGGAGAGCGAGGAUGAGUGGGGUGUGCCUCACGCCUUCACCCUGGUUGGGCAGCGCCAGUCAGUAGUGGUAGCAGCAAGUUCACUGUCAGAGAUGGAGAAGUGGAUGGAGGACAUUAAUAUGGCCAUUAUCCUGGCGGAGAGCAUCAACGGUCCUCCGUCUGACCGGCUGGCCAGCAGUCUGACAGAUAACAAAUCCCUAACAGAGGACUCCUGUGCAGAGGCGGAGUCUGAGGACGACCUGAUGGCGUCGCGCACCUCCCUGGAGAGGCAGGCUCCUCACCGUGGUAACACCACGGUGCACGUGUGCUGGCACAGGAACACCAGCGUGUCCAUGGUGGACUUUAGCGUAGCCGUGGAGAAUCAGCUGUCAGGAAACCUGCUGAGGAAGUUCAAGAACAGCAACGGCUGGCAGAAACUCUGGGUGGUCUUCACCAACUUCAGCCUGUUCUUCUACAAAACCCACGAGGAUGACUAUCCACUGGCCAGUCUCCCCCUGUUGGGCUACUCUUUCACCAUCCCCACUGAGUCUGAAAACAUCCACAAGGACUAUGUCUUCAAACUGCAUUUCAAAUCCCACGUCUACUACUUCAGAUCUGAGAGCGAGUACAACUUUGACAGGUGGAUGGAGGUCAUUCGCAGCGCCACAGUCUCUGCCAGCCAUAACCGCAUUCUGAGCCGGAAAGAGUCCCGUCCGUACUGACCCAAAGAGCAGGGGGGUUCUCUCCCUGUCUCCCCGUGCCUCUUCUCCUCACCACAACCUCCCAUAGGGUCUGGCCACAUACAGCCUCUCUUCAGACUAUGACUCCCUCAAGCAGCAAGCUGGAACCACACAUUCGCUUGUCUGGAAUCUGUUGAUUUCCUUUUCUCAAUGGAUCUGGGACGUGUGUCCAUUGAGCAGUGUCCAAUGCACAAUCUUGGUGCUUAUUGAUGCGGUGACAUGUCCGCUGGUUUAGACUGCAAACAGAGACAGACAUUUUCAGCAUCUUUUUUUAUACUCUGCUCUGAAUCUCUCUUUUUUUUUUUGUAGGACGUCAUUUUAUACUGUUUUCUAACGGAGCACAUACUAUACUUCUGUUUUCACAUUCUGUCAUUGGAUCGUUUUAUGGUGGAAACUGAUUCUGCGGUUGUUGUUGUUUUUUAAACCUGUUUUUCAUUUAGGAUAUCACUGCAUCCUCAAGGUCUUUUGUCUCCUUGUUCAUUUAAUGAAAAACGAAACAAAAAAAGCUGCUUUGAAAAUCCAACAGCUUGAGUGUCAAAACAGGUCUACCGUUGUCCUAGAUUUUACACUGCAAAUGUCAAAACAGGUCUACCGUUGUCCUAGAUUUUACACUGCAAAUGUCAAAACAGGGCUACCGUUGUCCUAGAUUUUACACUGCAAAUGUCAAAACAGGGCUACCGUUGUCCUAGAUUUUACACUGCAAAUGUCAAAACAGGUCUACCGUUGUCCUAGAUUUUACACUGCAAAUGUCAAAACAGGUCUACCGUUGUCCUAGAUUUUACACUGCAAAUGUCAAAACAGGGCUACCGUUGUCCUAGAUUUUACACUGCAAAUGUCAAAACAGGUCUACCAUUGUCCUAGAUUUUACACUGCAAAUGUCAAAACAGGUCUACCGUUGUCCUAGAUUUUACACUGCAAAUGUCAAAACAGGGCUACCGUUGUCCUAGAUUUUACACUGCAAAUGUCAAAACAGGGCUACCGUUGUCCUAGAUUUUACACUGCAAAUGUCAAAACAGGUCUACCGUUGUCCUAGAUUUUACACUGCAAAUGUCAAAACAGGGCUACCGUUGUCCUAGAUUUUACACUGCAAAUGUCAAAACAGGUCUACCGUUGUCCUAGAUUUUACACUGCAAAUGUCAAAACAGGGCUACCGUUGUCCUAGAUUUUACACUGCACUUUUAUUACGUCGGUGGGGAGGAGACUUAACAUGUGUCGUUAAACAGGCCACAUUAAAAUACUUUUUUUUAAAAAUAUAAAUAUAUAUAAAUAUAAUAUGUCUCUGGAGAAUGUGAGUAACCUUGUGAAAACAUGGAUGAUCAGUAAAGAUAUCCAAAUAUGUAGUUGUACUAUUGACAUAACUCUAAACCUACUUGUAAAACGAUCAGGUUAGUUACCAUCACCACUAACGCCAUUAUUCGCCAAGCAUAGUGAAUAUUUCUCUUACAUGAGGAUCUUUGUCGUGCGGAUACCGCUGAGUUUCUGAAUAAUAUUAUAUUCCACCCUUAAUAGUGUAAGACUCGAUCAUAAUCUGUGUAUUAUGAAGGACACUGUAAUGGAAAGCUUUAAAGAAUAUGCGUGAACCAAAAUAUAAACUUUCAGUUCCAAGCACCAUUGCCCUUGUUGGACUAGGCUGCCCGUAUGUAAGAGACAUUUACGAAUUUAAAUGAAAUGGAUAUAUGCAUAUGACAGACAGGGUUUAUGAAGUGUAGCAUUCCAAAGGGUAUUGAGGGUGUGCUGCCAGACAACAGAGAGAGCUCUUUGGAAAUGAAAGCAAUAAAAUAAACAUUUAUUUGAACAUUGUAUUGUGAGUUUUAUUUGCAUGGUCCACAAUAGUUAACUUUCAAUGUUUUGGACCACUUUCACUUCAAUGCGCUCCACAAUAUUAUUAAAAUGUUGUUUCUUGUAUGACCCAUAGGCGGUAACAUAAAGCCUGUUCCGUUGUGCUCGUCACAUUGGCUACUGCCCCCGAAGUUAUUGCACUCAUGAUUUCCAUCUGAUGAAAGGAGAAAUCGACAUAGGCCUAAAAACGAACUUGGUUAUUGCCAUUUCCUCUUAAAAUGUCGAAUUUUGAAAUGAUGUGAACUUAACUACAUUUGAAUUCUACACGUUUAACGCUUAAAUAUUCAAUUCAUUGAACAAUUCGUUCCCCUAUGGAACAUAAAGACCGUGCAUGGUAUCUUCUUUCCACUUUUUUUUUUGUUUUACCCAUAAAUAUAAUUGUAAAAAUAAUUACAGUAGCAUACAUUCAUAGCGUGCUCAUAUAGAAAGUAAAGUGGGCAGGUCUUUGUACAUGAAUGAAGUGUGGAGGAGUACAGAAUGGUGCCGCCGCUGUUUCCAGAACGGAGCACGCAGAUUACGUCAUGGAUUACCGUUCUCCUAGCAGCAGGAUAAUAUGCUGGCACCACGAUUCAAUAUA